AGCAGCCGCGGUAAUUCCAGCUCCAAUAGCGUAUAUUAAAGUUGUUGCAGUUAAAAAGCUCGUAGUUGAAUUUCGGGAUCAUCAGGUUGGUCGUGCCUCCGGUAUGUACUUGCUUCGGUGGUCCCUCCUUCUUGAAGAACCGUAAUGCCAUUAAUUUGUUGUUGCGGGGAAACAGGACUGUUACUUUGAAAAAUUAGAGUGUUUAAAGCAGGCAAAUCGCUUGAAUACAUUAGCAUGGAAUAAUGAAAUAGGACGUUCGAUCCUAUUUUGUCGGUUUCUAGGAUUUACGUAAUGAUUAAUAGGGAUAGUUGGGGGCAUUAGUAUUCAAUUGUCAGGAGGUGAAAUUCUUGGAUUUAUUGAAGACUAACUACU
rnacentral:rRNA from 1 species